rnacentral:lncRNA from 1 species
AUUUUGAGGGAAUUGAAUCAAAAUUUUACAUGGAAUCUCUACAAAUCAGUUAAACUCCAUAAAAAUUCAUGAAUUUAUAAAUCCAUUAAAAUAUCUUAAAUUCCCAAUUGAAUACACCCCCUUAGAUAAGAUACUGAUUUCCUAAGUUUUUAUAUGUAGAAGAGUCUUGCUUUGGGGUUGAGGAUGUGUUUUGGACCUUUAGAAUACUCCCCAUCCCCCUAGUAUAAAAAUAUCGAUAUACUAAAAAAAAUUAUGAUUAUGUUUAAAUAAUUCUCUUUUUGCCUUAACAUCAAUAUGUAUUUUAUUUUCAAUUUACUUAUAAUGUUAAAUUGGUUAAUGCUCCUCAUGGUUGGAAAUUGUAAGUUCACUUAAGACAAAUAUCAUGCUCUUAGGAAUUGCAUGAUUUUUAAAAGGGUUCUCUCUAUAGACUUUUUCCUAUUUUUGACAUUUAUAUUAGAUAAAUAAAUCAAAAGAGAAUAAAAGACGAAAUUAACACGAAUGUGUAAAUAUAAAAAUAACAAUAAUCUGUAGAAGUCAUUUUAUUUUUAUACUGAAUGAUGCUAUUCCUUCUAAAAAACAUGACCAAUUGGAACUUCAAAUCUUCCAUGCCAAUACUAUUUUAUUUGUAAAGAAUACAGUGAGCGCAAGUUGAAAUGAAUUAUUUCGUUGUUUGUAGGGCAAUGAUCAACUAAAAAACAAGCAUUAUUGGCCAUGAAAACAAAAAUACUGAUUAGGAAAAUAAGGAUGAGUCCCAUCCCUCCAGAGUGGGUCUUGGGCCCUCACCUCAACUUCAAACCCGAUCAUCAACUCAUGAAUGAUGACCUUCUUCACACUUUGUACGUGCCAUGAUAGUGAUACAGGAAAUACUUAGGUCAUCUUCAAUCGAAGGGUUUAGAGGACCAGAGGAUCAGAGGGUUGAAA